rnacentral:misc_RNA from 1 species
CCCAAAGGUACGCUCAGAUUGGAUGGAAACCAAUCGCCGAGUGCAAAUGCAGAAGCGUGCUUGACUGUGAGAGCAACAACUCGAACAGGGACGAAAGUCGGGAUUAGU